rnacentral:rRNA from 1 species
UACGUAGGGUGCGAGCGUUAAUCGGAAUUACUGGGCGUAAAGGGUGCGUAGGCGGUUGUUUAAGUCUGUCGUGAAAUCCCCGGGCUCAACCUGGGAAUGGCGAUGGAUACUGGACAGCUAGAGUGUGUCAGAGGAUGGUGGAAUUCCCGGUGUAGCGGUGAAAUGCGUAGAGAUCGAGAGGAACAUCAGUGGCGAAGGCGGCCAUCUGGGACAACACUGACGCUGAAGCACGAAAGCGUGGGGAGCAAACAGG